UAAUAGCUUUAUUUCCAAUCAAGGGUCCACAGGGGACAUGGUACAGAGCAAACAAAGAGAGAAAACCCAAAUGACAGUCAAGUAAGAAAAUAUAAUAGUAUACAUAGCUCCCAACAGGGGAGAUACACAUAUAAGUACCUUAUGCACUAAGGCUUCAUGCCGAAAAAAAAAACGGCUCAUGAGAACAUUAUUAUUAAUCAUGAAAGGGAGAUAAAUCCACUUAACUCUUAAUGUUACAGAUCAAUAUUAAGCAUUACAGAACAGCUGUAUUCAUCCGCAAAAAAAAAUAGUACCUAAAAUUCAUGUACAUUAUAUAGGUUUAAACGUCAAAUGAGGUCAAAUGAAUAGAGACGUCUUUAAUAUAUACUAAAUAUUCGUAUCAUCCCAAAUCGACAAUAAAACAGCGAGAAAAAGGAAAAUCUAAGUAAUGGCAAUCUAAUUAACAUAAAAUUUACGACAUAAUGGAUUCUUCAAUGUUUUGAUGGUGAUCAUGAAGAAAAUAGGCCUACAUCUGUUCUCAGGAAUCCGAUAAGAUUUUCAAAAAAAGGAUCAGUAGAAUUAUAGAUUGUUAUUCCACAAAGUCGAAAGACCCGAGAAAAGUUGUGAAAACUCAAGCUUGCAAAUGAAAACCCCAUUCAUGCCUUAUCAGACUGCCACAUACAGACCUAAUGAGCUGAAUUAUCAAGACUUACUGAGCGUUGAGUUUGGAGGUUAUUUGGCGUCCAUAGAAGAUGAUUUAUCUGAAACCUGCUCUGAUUUUGUUGUAGAUGCUUUGGGUACUUUCAUUGGUGGCAUUUUGUUAAAUAUGUCAUCCACCAUUCGAUUGGUCAGUUUGUUUUUAGCUGGAGAUGUCAACUGAAAAAUAAAGUAAAUAUAUUGAUUGGGAAGAUAGAAGCACACUCUGGAUUAUGAAUAUUUCAAUGUCCUAACCACAAGACUACCAUAUCUCUUUAAAUAAUAAAACCAGCAAUAUUAUGGAUAUGAAGGGUAAAAAAAUUUUGAAUUACUAUAACAAAAAUGUGUGUCAGUAAUUCUCGUUCCCUAGUUCUAACAAAAUCGUAUCUCUUAAUUUGUAUGCAAUCGAAAGGUAAGUAAAAAUAUUUGAAUAAUAAAAUGUUGCUGAAGAAGUUUAUUUAGGUAAAUGUUGCUGAUGAAGUUUAUGUAGGUAAAUGAGGAGGACUUACAGAAGAACCAGUACAAUUAAUAUCACAACCAGCCUCUAUAAAAGCUGUAGCUACUUCCGAGUGUCCAUGGUAACUAGCAAACAUUAAACCUGUAAAAUCAGCCUGAAAUGGAUCCAAACCACUGCUUCUGUUAAAUAAAUCAGUUACAGGUAUCAUGCAUGAGGAAAAGGAUGCUUAUGCUUUCUGGAACACCCGAUACCACCUCCUAAACAACUAACAAACUAUUGUUCUACUUUUAUAUUAUUGAUUCAAAGUAAAGCUUAAAGUAAAGUGGAGUAAAAAGUAAAGAAUCAAGGAAAAACAGUUUGUUCUCUUUUAUCAAAUUGACGAAACCAAUGGAAAUUCAAAUAACAUAGAAUAGUAAGAAUUAUAAAUUUCUAGCCCCUGUGUUUUGAAGAUACUAAGUUACCUAAUUGAUGUGUAUAAUAAAGAAUGAUUUACCUCCCCUAGAUC